rnacentral:rRNA from 1 species
UACAGAGGGGGCAAGCGUUGUUCGGAAUUACUGGGCGUAAAGGGCGCGUAGGCGGCCGUCUAAGUCGAACGUGAAAUCCCCGGGCUCAACCCGGGAACUGCGUCCGAUACUGGAAGGCUUGAAUCCGGGAGAGGGAUGUGGAAUUCCAGGUGUAGCGGUGAAAUGCGUAGAUAUCUGGAGGAACACCGGUGGCGAAGGCGACAUCCUGGACCGGUAUUGACGCUGAGGCGCGAAAGCCAGGGGAGCAAACGGG